rnacentral:rRNA from 1 species
GACGAACGCUGGCGGCGUGCUUAACACAUGCAAGUCGAACGAUGAAGCCAGCUUGCUGGUGGAUUAGUGGCGAACGGGCGAGUAACACGUGGGUGAUCUGCCCCAAACUUUGGGAUAAGCCUGGGAAACUGGGUCUAAUACCGAAUAUGACCGAUACUCGGAUGGGUGGUGGGGGAAAGCUCCGGCGGUUGGGGAUGGGCCCGCGGCCUAUCAGCUUGUUGGUGGGGUAGUGGCUUACCAAGGCGACGACGGGUAGCCGGCCUGAGAGGGCGACCGGCCACACUGGGACUGAGACACGGCCCAGACUCCUACGGGAGGCAGCAGUGGGGAAUAUUGCACAAUGGGCGCAGGCCUGAUGCAGCGACGCCGCGUGAGGGAUGACGGCCUUCGGGUUGUAAACCUCUUUCACCAGGGACGAAGCGAAAGUGACGGUACCUGGAGAAGAAGCACCGGCCAACUACGUG